rnacentral:rRNA from 1 species
GCCUUCAUGAAGCCGGAAUUGCUAGUAAUGGCAGGUCAGCAUACUGCCGUGAAUACGUUCCCGGGCCUUGUACACACCGCCCGUCACACCAUGAGAGUUGGGAAUACCCGAAGCCUGUGAGCUAACGUAAGAGGCAGCAGUCGAAGGUAGAAUCAAUGAUUGGGGUGAAGUCGUAACAAGGUACC